GAAUAAAAUCUGUUUAACUGAACCAACUGAUCGACACUGUGGUAGAGUUGAUCUAAAGGUUUUAGAUAGUAAUAUAAGAAUUAAUAAACUCUCUUGAAGUAGGUCGAUGUAAAGUGUGCGUUCCUGUGCCCAGCCGUUGCAAGUCACUUCUCAUCUUGUGGUUUAACUGAGAACAAGUUCUGAAAAAGGACACUCAGUGUAAGUGAAAGCCACAGUAGUCAGACAGAUGAACAUUCAGAUCAUUCCACUUCAUCAUGGCUGGACGCCUGCUGCUGGUUGUUGCUCUGACAUUUUCAGGUUCCUUUAAUGUGGUCAAAGCUGGAGCUCUUCCUCCACCUGAACUCACAGUGAAUCCAUUGGUGAUCACAGAGACAGACUCAGUCACAUUGAACUGUGUGGCGCCACCAUCUGUUUCUGUGUCUCGGUGUCAUUUCUUCAUUGCAACACAAGAAACAUCCAAAAAUGUGUGUGUGGAGACACUGACAGGAACCAAGCUGCUGGAGAUGACACGUAAGCGUUCACCUGCUGAGGUUGAAGUCAGAUGUUAUAUUGUACAGUCUGACGCGAUUCAUUCUACAACUCCAGACAGUAAAACAUCCACCAUCGUCAUAAACAACCUUCUUCCACCUAAACUCACAGUGAAUCCACGGGUGAUCACAGAGACAGACUCUGUCACAUUAGACUGUCAGAUUCCAUCGUCUGUUUCUGUGUCUGAGUGUUACUUCAGCAUUUCAAGAAAACCUGCAGAAAAGUUUUCUUGUCUGAAGACAGUGAAUGGAACUGAACUGCUGUCGUUGGUACAAAAAAAUCCACCUGCUACAGUUGAAGUGACGUGUUUUUACCUGAUUUCACAUCAAUCUCCACACAGUAACAUGGCCUCUGUCUCC